CAAAUCCGAUUUACAGGAUAGG
rnacentral:miRNA from 16 species